AUUGAACGCUGGCGGCAUGCCUUACACAUGCAAGUCGAACGGCAGCACGGGUGCUUGCACCUGGUGGCGAGUGGCGAACGGGUGAGUAAUACAUCGGAACGUACCUUAUCGUGGGGGAUAACGCAGCGAAAGCUGUGCUAAUAUCGCAUACGCCCUGAGGGGCAAAGCGGGGGAUCGCAAGACCUCGCGCGAUUAGAGCGGCCGAUGCCUGAUUAGCUUGUUGGUGGGGUAAAAGCCCACCAAGGCGACGAUCAGUAGCUGGUCUGAGAGGACGAUCAGCCACACUGGGACUGAGACACGGCCCAGACUCCUACGGGAGGCAGCAGUGGGGAAUUUUGGACAAUGGGGGCAACCCUGAUCCAGCAAUGCCGCGUGAGUGAAGAAGGCCUUCGGGUUGUAAAGCUCUUUUGUCAGGGAAGAAACACCGGCUCUAACACAGUCUGGGAAUGACGGUACCUGAAGAAUAAGCACCGGCCAACUACGUGCCAGCCGCCGCCGUAA
rnacentral:rRNA from 1 species